rnacentral:lncRNA from 1 species
GCGAUAUAAAAAUCAGCUGAUCGAAUUCUGUAAGUGUUGCAUAACUUCAUGAUUGGGGUGAGCUCGAAAAGCACAUUUUCACGAAUGGACGUUGCCUAACACUUGACUCUACAAAGCAACUCUAUUGGGAACAAACCUCUGAUUUCUUUUGCCAACUACAAUUAAAGCACGAUUCAGUAAAUAUGAAUGCUCAGAACGAAGAAAAUUCAUCUGGAUCCAUCCAACAAGACGGUAAUCGCAAUCCAGAAGAAGGUAAGUGUCAGUUAAUGUGGUGUGUCCAUUUCGUAAUUUUCUGUAUCUUGCAAUGGUAGGCGGAGAAGUUGCAUCGGAUGGUGCACAACCGGCAGAGGCAGAGGCAGAGGCAGAGGCAGGCCCACAAAUUGCUGCUGAUGCCAACAGAAAUGCCGUUCCGCCUAUCCGGUAUAGGGUCAUUGGCACGCGGCCACAGACAUUUCCCGAGAUGAUUAUGAGGCUAUUUCACCGCCGGACUCAAAGAGCUUACUUGACAUUUCGUUUCUGGUACUAGAGGACGGAUGGAGAUGGCGGGACGUACACUGACGGCUGCAAACAAAACUUAAACUCCUCCACGCUCUGUUGAAAAAUUAUCAUUAAACUCAAAGCUGUUUAACCAUU